GUUUUCUCAUCGUUUCUGUUCAGUUAAGUCUCCUUCUGACUAUCUAAAUAUCUAGCUAGCUCGCUAUCUAGCUCGCUAUCUAUCCAUGACUGAUUUGGUUUGGCCGAGGGCUUGCAUCCAUCACGCUUAGGCACACGCAAGCAGGUCAGGGCUGACAAUCAGGCCUCCCAGCAUUCUCAAACAUCCUGCUCGGACGCCGCUCCCGUUCCGACCGCUGAAGAUGGAUCCCGGUGUCGUUGACAGACGAGAAUAGCGGGAAGACAAGACACCUGCGACGGGAUAAGCCUUAACGCCAUGUUCGAUGUUUAUCGCAGGUCAGACAACCCCAUGAGAAGAGGAAUGGGAACACGAGGCUGAUAAUAACUGGCCUAGUUGGGGAUUGAGUGCAACUCUCCAGAUGUGCCCAUGACAAAGGACGCAUUGAAUGUGUCGCUGAUCACCCAUCUCUGCGAACCAGCUGAAGUGACGGUUGUUUACGAGCCUCUUGUCGGAUGCUUGCGCAGGAAGACAUUGAUUGACUCCAUGGCACACCACGGCCAUUCCGACGCAUUUGAGCCCAUCUGUUUGCUGCAGCAUUGACAGCCUUCACCCCGGAGUGACCUCGCCGCCACGUAACGCCACUGUGGACGCGGAACAACACGCGUGCAGUCAGCGCUGGAUGGAUGCGACCACGCCGGCGAGAUACUUUACACCUACGAGUUAAGUCGCUCCACCCAAACAGAAAAAUCAGACAGACACCAGAAACCCAAACCAGUGGGGUGGAGUUUCAGCAUAUCGUCCAAAGCCCAUGGAUAUAACCUUUUGAAACACGUUGCCUCCAGGAAGUGUUAUUUUUGUUUUUUAUAUGAAACCUGAAGCCUAUCUUGAAACCCAAAUUCGGAAGCCUGACCCCAAUUUGAAAACCUAAAUUGCUGCCACUUUAACCCCACUUUGAACCUGGUGUGACCAAGGCACAUUUCCCAACACUGCGACAGUCAUUCUCCAUCAAUCUUGUUUGCAGUUGUACUCCGUUAGAGAAGUUAAACUGGCACGAUCUGGACCCUUCUUUUUUCAAAUACGAUACCCUCUAAUAAUUCACUAUUUCCUUAGUCGCCAUUGCUGGGAAAUAAUGACCUUCCCUGUUUACUUAGCUGUGUUGCAGUUUUUUUCUCCCCUCCCCAAAAUUCCGGGGUAAUUGUUGAGGCAGGUCAAACGCGACAUUCCUGUCGGCU